CCUAAUUCUCUUCUCCUCUAUCGUCGAUCUCUUUAUCUCUCUUACGCUCUCUCGCUACUCACAAUGGAAUUAACCCUAACUCGCUCUCUCAAUUCAAUCGAUCAGUGACGGGAACUACAAAGCUAUUGGUAGUUAACAUUGCAACGACUUCACUUCCGUGCAAAGAGGAACGUUUACCAUUUAUGCUUUAGUGUCAGCUUUCACAGUGGUUAUUGUAAGACUCUGGGUCCCCAAAACUAAAGGAAAGACACUGGAAGAAAUUCAAACAUUUUUCAGAUGAUGAGUUUUGCUUGAAUAUAUAUUGGGUAUCAUACUGCCAGCAUUUGGUGCAAAAUUGUGAAUAUGUUAUGUUUCAGCUGAUGCUCUAUUCCACUUGAUAUGUCAGGGAAGCAAGGAACUGCUUGAGAAACCUGUUGUAGACGCAAGGCCGCUCUAGGUGAACCAGGUGACCCGCCUUCUUUAUGCCUUGAAACGUAGUCUUGCUUCCUAGUUUC